UCUCACUAAUGCAUAUAAAUAUCUCAAAGGCAGGUGCCAAGAGGAUGGUGCCAGACUGUUCUCAGUGGUGCCCAGCAACAGGACAAGGAACAAUUGCAAUAAACUAAAUAGCAAUAAACUAAAACACAAGAAGUUUCACCUCAAUAUUGAGGAAGAACUUCUUUACAUUGAGGGUGGCAGAGCACUGGAACAGGCUGCCCGGGAAGGCUGUGGAGUCUCCCUUUUUGGAGACAUUCAAAACCCACUUGAACACAUUCCUGUGUCACCUGCUCUAGGUGACCUUGCCUUGGACUAGAUGAACUCCAGAGGUCCCUUCCAACCCUAACAAUUCUAUGAUUCUGUGAGAUGGGGCUGUGCUGGCGCAGGGCAGUGUGGCUGCGCACUGUGAUUGUCGGGGCUCCUCUGCAGCAGUGCCCAUCUCAUGGGGGGCAUCUCCUGCCUGUUGAGACUCCUGAUCCAGCCCUUCAACCAGCGGAAAGAUCUGAGGCUUAUUUUACUCUUUGAAGCUCAACCCUUCCCCCCCCUUGCCAUGUUUGGGAUGGAAGAACUCAUGAUGGAUGUUUGGGAUGGAAGAGUUAUGUCUGCAGAGCUGCUUGUCUCCAAAGGGCACCCAUCCCAUGGAGACGAGGAUGAGAGUGGUGCCUGCAGCACGUCACAGACACCCUGUGACCCAGUGAUGAGCACUCACUGCUGUGCCAGGCACCCCUCUGGCCCUCACAGGUUCCUCUCUCUCUCCUCACCUGCAUCUUUUGAAACUCUGAGGGCUGUCUGCAUGAAGUAAGUGUUUAACUGCUCUGAUACAAACCCACUGCACAUGAGCUUCCAAGUCUGUCUACUUGGUGGAAAACAGAACUGUUCUCAUCUAACUAGUGUUUAUGGGAAGGAACACUGAAGGCUACAUGAAGUGACUGCAUUCAGAGGAGGUGAGACAUGGAAGACAAGGAGAUAACUUGGAAAAAUAGACUUGGAACAGACAAAAGGAACCCCAGCAGAGAGCGGGGGGGACACGAAGUAUGUGAAGACUGGGGUGGAAAUCAAAGGAUGAGGAGGAGACUGAAGCACAGCAAAGAACGAAGGCAACUGGGAAGUGGCAUAUGGGGAAAGGAUGUGAAGAAACUCAUUUUAGCCUCUCUUUGCACAUUAUUCUGAGCUCACUUAAGAACACUUGAGCUCACUCAGAAGGCCUUCCCUUUCCUUCUGACACUGUCCUGGUGAACGUUAUAAAAAAAGCACCAAAACUUCACAAAAUAAAGUAUUUGUUGAACACCCCUAAAAUGCAAGGAACAGCAUUGCCAUCAUAUUACAAACAGAAAACCAGAGCCUGGAACUAUUUCCUGAUUAUUCAAUCCAAGAAGUACAUUUGUUGUACCAGGAGACUGCUGUAUAGUGGUGUAUGCAUGUUCUUUACAUGUUCCUGCUGCCUUCUACAGCAGCUGCAAGUCCUAAAUUCUUCUGUUAGCUAUGCUUUAUUUAGGUCAGGCAUCUAAGGAAUAAGGGAUGCAAAACUUC